UUUGAUCUAAAGGGGAAGCCAUCAGUUAUUCCUUCUCUUCAGAGGUGCAGGAAAGAGGAAAUGAAGGAGGCGGAGCGUCGGGGUUUGCUGUUGUUCAUGCGAGUGUCUGGAUUGUGUCAUAAAUUCCCAUUUGAUGUGCUGACAAGAUGCAGAGGGAAAGAUUUUUGAAAGAACGACAGUUCUGAGUGAAAACACAGAAGCACAUCGCAGCGAUCGGAAGAGCACACGUCUCAA